rnacentral:rRNA from 1 species
UAGGGAAUCUUCCGCAAUGGGCGAAAGCUUGACGGAGCAACGCCGCGUGAGUGAUGAAGGUCUUCGGAUCGUAAAACUCUGUUAUUAGGGAAGAACAAAUGUGUAAGUAACUAUGCACGUCUUGACGGUACCUAAUCAGAAAGCCACGGCUAACUACGUGCCAGCAGCCGCGGUAAUACGUAGGUGGCAAGCGUUAUCCGGAAUUAUUGGGCGUAAAGCGCGCGUAGGCGGUUUUUUAAGUCUGAUGUGAAAGCCCACGGCUCAACCGUGGAGGGUCAUUGGAAACUGGAAAACUUGAGUGCAGAAGAGGAAAGUGGAAUUCCAUGUGUAGCUGUGAAAUGCGCAGAGAUAUGGAGGAACACCAGUGGCGAAGGCGACUUUCUGGUCUGUAACUGACGCUGAUGUGCGAAAGCGUGGGGAUCAAACAGG